UCCACUAACUGAGUUGCAUCAUUUUUCCAUUUUUCAUUAUGAAGAUUCUCCUUAGUGUACUCUCUGUGGUAUUCACAACACAUUAUGUGACCUCCCAGGUGUCAUUAGUAGAGACUGGUCCAAGCAUUGUGAAGCCAGCACAGUCUCUGGAUGUAACAUGUACAGUGAAAGGAUUCUCUCUCACUGACAGCAAUGUGAAUUGGGUACGACAGUUUCCCGGAAAGGGCCUGGAGUGGAUGGGCCGCAUCAUCUAUAAUGGAGCUACAAAUUAUGCUGAAUCAUUUAAGGGAAAAGUAACAAUAACAAGAGAAGCUAGUAAAGGAGAAGUUUAUUUAAAACUCAAUAACAUGAAUACAGAUGACUCUGGGAGAUAUCACUGUGCAAGAGACACAGUGCAACAGAGCUGUGUACUCCUACUACAAUAACU